rnacentral:rRNA from 1 species
CACGUAGGGACCAAGCGUUGUCCGGAUUCAUUGGGCGUAAAGAGCUCGUAGGCGGUUCAGUAAGUCGGGUGUGAAACCUCCAGGCUCAACCUGGAGACGCCACCCGAUACUGCUGUGACUAGAGUCCAGUAGGGGAGCGUGGAAUUCCUGGUGUAGCGGUGAAAUGCGCAGAUAUCAGGAGGAACACCAGCGGCGAAGGCGGCGCGCUGGGCUGGAACUGACGCUGAGGCGCGAAAGCCAGGGGAGCAAACGGG